GAUGAGAACGUAGCGAAAUGCGAUAAGUAAUGUGAAUUGCAGAAUUCAGUGAAUCAUCGAAUCUUUGAACGCACCUUGCACCCUUUGGCAUUCCGAAGGGUAUGCUCGUUUGAGUGUCAUUGUACUCUCACACUUCCAAUCUUUGGAUUGGGAGCGGUGGACUUGGGUGUUGCUGCUUACUGUGGCUCACCUCAAAUCGAUUCGUGCACCUCUUGGUUGGACAUAGUACGGCGUGAUAAGUGUCUUCGCCGGCACCUCAGUAGAGGGUGGCUGAUCAGGAGCUCUGUGCUUCAAACCGUCCUCGGACAACAACUGACAACUUGACCUCAAAUCGAGUAGGACUACCCGCUGAACUUAAGCAUAUCAAUAAGCGGAGGA
rnacentral:misc_RNA from 1 species